CUCACUUCCAGGGGAGUGUAACUGUUAAACUGUCAUACAAAGAAAAUGCUCUCAUGUACACCAAAGGCUAACUUACCUUAAUAUUCUCUGAAUGUGUAUGUCGUUAGAACACAUAAAGAAGUUUUAAUAGCAGGUGCCUGCAGUCUAAUGGAUUUGAAUUAGUAAGAGAAUGUGAACUUCAACACAGAGAUAAAUGCUACUGGAUUUGCCUUCAUAGCCUAAAUAAACAGAUCAGUUGCUGGGCAGACAUGAAGAAGGUUAUGGGGU
rnacentral:lncRNA from 1 species